rnacentral:rRNA from 2 species
CGUCGUGACUGCGUGCCUUUUGAAGAAUGAGCCUGCGAGUUUGCGGUGUGUUGCGAGGUUAACCCGGGUGGGGUAGCCGUAGCGAAAGCGAGUCCGAAUAGGGCGUUUGAGUAGCACGCUCAAGACCCGAAGCGGAGUGAUCUAGCCAUGGGCAGGUUGAAGCGGAGGUAAGACUUCGUGGAGGACCGAACCCACCAGGGUUGAAAACCUGGGGGAUGACCUGUGGUUAGGGGUGAAAGGCCAAUCAAACUCCGUGAUAGCUGGUUCUCCCCGAAAUGCAUUUAGGUGCAGCGUCGUGUGUUUCUUGCCGGAGGUAGAGCACUGGAUAGGCGAUGGGCCCUACCGGGUUACUGACCUUAGCCAAACUCCGAAUGCCGGUAAGUGAGAGCGCGGCAGUGAGACUGUGGGGGAUAAGCUCCAUGGUCGAGAGGGAAACAGCCCAGAGCAUCGACUAAGGCCCCUAAGCGUACGCUAAGUGGGAAAGGAUGUGGAGUCGCAGAGACAACCAGGAGGUUGGCUUAGAAGCAGCCACCCUUGAAAGAGUGCGUAAUAGCUCACUGGUCUAGUGAUUCCGCGCCGACAAUGUAGCGGGGCUCAAGCGUACCGCCGAAGUCGUGUCAUUCCAGCAUAUAGGGCCAACGCCUGCUGGGAUGGGUAGGGGAGCGUCGUGUGCCGGGUGAAGCAGCCGCGGAAGCGAGUUGUGGACGGUUCACGAGUGAGAAUGCAGGCAUGAGUAGCGAUACAAACGUGAGAAACGUUUGCGCCGAUUGACCAAGGGUUCCUGGGUCAAGCUGAUCUGCCCAGGGUAAGUCGGGACCUAAGGCGAGGCCGACAGGCGUAGUCGAUGGAUAACCGGUUGAUAUUCCGGUACCCGCUGUGAAGCGUCAAACAUUGAACCAGGCGAUGCUAAGUCCGUGAAGCCGUCCCGGAGCCUUCGGGCAAAGGGAAGUGGUGGAGCCGACG